UAAGUCUGGGAUAACCUUCGGAAACUGAGGAUAAAACAGGAUAGGAAAACAUUUCUGGAACGAUUGUUUUCCCAAAAGCAAUGCUUAAGGAUGGGACGGCGGCGGAUUAGGCUGUUGGUGAGGUAACGGCUCACCAAACCGAAGAUCCGUAGGGGCUUUGAGAGAAGUAGCCCCGAGAAGGGCACUGAGACACAGGCCCUAGCCCUACGGGGUGCAGCAGGCGCGAAACCUUUACAAUGCACGCAAGUGUGAUAGGGGAAUCCAGAGUGCUUAUACACAGUAUAGGCUUUUGCUAAGAGUAAAUAUCUUGGAGAAUAAGUGGUGGGAAAGACUGGUGCCAGCAGCCGCGGUAACCCCAGCGCCACAAGUGGGAAUCGCGUUUAUUGGGCCUAAAGCAUCCGUAGCUGGUUAUGUAAAUCUCUUGUGAAAUUGUUAGGCUCAACCUAACAGCGUGCAGGAGACACUGCAAAACUAGGGACUGGGAGGCGUCAGAGGUAUGCUGUGGGGAGCGGUAAAAUGCUAUAAUCCACGGUAGACCACCUGUGGCGAAGGCGUCUGACGAGAACAGGUCCAACAGUGAGGGAUGAAAGCCAGGGGAGCAAACCGGAUUAGAUACCCGAGUAGUCCUGGCCGUAAACCCUGCGAGCUAGGUGUCGCAUAAUCUUCGUGAUUGUGCGGUGUCGUAGUGAAGAUGAUAAGCUCGCCGCCUAGGAAGUACGGUCGCAAGACUGAAACUUAAAGGAAUUGGCGGGGGAG
rnacentral:rRNA from 1 species